UUCCUCAGUGACCUUAUUGAUUACCUUCUCAUAUGUAUAUUUGCAUAAAAUGCUAAAUGGGAACUUUCUGUGCGUUGCCACAGUGUGCAGUCUGGGGAUGUUCACUGUUGAAUUCUGAGUUGGUCCAUUAGGAAACUAAAAUGUUCUAUAGAGAUCUUUUGUUUCAAGCUAAAUUUCUCUAGAAAGUGUUAUUCCAGUUUCUUGCUUGCAGCAGGAGUUAUCUGGUUGUAAGGAUUUCUGCAUAGGCAUAGAGGAAGACUUAUGUGUAGGUGUUUGAUCAUUUCAUAUGCAGAGCUUUUAAUUAAUCACUUUAUUUAGCUUGCAAUUCACCUUCACCUGUCAUUUUGCUUACUCUCCUUGAUUUUGAAAAAUCUCAGUUCAGUUACUCCACUCAAUAAAUAAAUACCCAGUAGUUUCUUGCUUAUGUGGUAGAUUCUGUCUAAGAAUUCUCUGAGAGUAUGGGAAGUAGUAUUUGUAUAUCUGGGUGUGAAAUUUGAUUAUUCCAUAUAUAAAUUUCCAUUAUAUCCCUCAUUUUUGCUCCAUGACUCCAUGUGGUGAGCCGUGUUUGUAGACCAUUGCCGCCAUUAGAAGAUGGCACCGGUCUCCGUUGUGGAUCUUGGUAAACAACUCCUUAUUAGGAAGUAUUGGCGCGCUGUCCCUCAAUACCCUAUGAGAAAACCCCACGUGGCAGCUUUUGAUUGGACUUGAGUAAGCUUUAUUAGGCUGUGUGUGGGUGCGUGGAGACGAGAGCGCGCUUGAGAGAAGACUAGAAUUAAGGCCUGAAUAAACCGCUGAAAGAAGAAUCCUGUGUCGUGUCUUCCUUGCUGGCGAGGGGGUCGCGACAAUUGGUGGCCCGCACGGGGAACCGAAUACCUCUCAAUCCCAGGAUCCAGAACUUUCAGCGGUCAGGGUGGUGCACCGGUAAGUUCCCAGGUAAGUGGGAAUCCGCGGAAAAAUUAGCGGGUCGCUCCUCUGUAAGAAGAGAGAGCGGGGAUUUUUUGGACUUUCGCUUUAUUUCUUUGCUUUCGCUUUCUGCAUUAACGCCAUGGGCGCCUCUGCUUCUAGCCCUAUUCUGUUAGCCCUGGAUGGACUGCUACGAUCUAAAGGUUUAAAAGUUAAACAGAGUACUUUGCAGAUGUUCUUAAAACAAGUAGAUCUAGCGGCCCCGUGGUUUGCUUACUCGGGCAGUCUCACGACCCCCAGCUGGGAAAAACUAGGUAAGGAUUUAGAUUUUGCACACGAACAAGGGACCCUCGAAGGUGGGGUGAUUCCUUUAUGGAAGUUAGUAAGGGGUUGUUUAUCUGACAGUAGAUGUCAGGAUGCCCUAACCAAAGGACAGGAGGUUCUUGAACAAUUGCAUGAGGAGAGGUCCGAG
rnacentral:lncRNA from 1 species